GCUGGGCAUGGUGGCGCAUGCCUGUAAUCCCAGCUACUCAGGAGGCUGAGGCGGGAGAAUUGCUUGAACCCAGGAGGUGGAGGUUGCGGUGAGUCAAGAUCGCGCCAUUGCACUCCAGCCUGGGUAACAAGAGCGAAACUCCGCCUCAA
ensembl:misc_RNA Metazoa_SRP Metazoan signal recognition particle RNA